rnacentral:rRNA from 1 species
UACAGAGGUGGCAAGCGUUGUUCGGAAUUACUGGGCGUAAAGAGCUCGUAGGCGGUGUGUCGCGUCGGCCGUGAAAACUCACAGCUUAACUGUGGGCGUGCGGGCGAUACGGGCAGACUGGAGUACUGCAGGGGAGACUGGAAUUCCUGGUGUAGCGGUGGAAUGCGCAGAUAUCAGGAGGAACACCGGUGGCGAAGGCGGGUCUCUGGGCAGUAACUGACGCUGGAGGAGCGAAAGCGUGGGGAGCGAACAGG